rnacentral:rRNA from 1 species
GACGAACGCUGGCGGCGUGCUUAACACAUGCAAGUCGAACGGAAAGGCCCUGCUUGCAGGGUACUCGAGUGGCGAACGGGUGAGUAACACGUGGGUGAUCUGCCCUCCACUUCGUGAUAAGCCUGGGAAACUGGGUCUAAUACCGGAUAGGAGCCAUUUUUAGUGUGAUGGGUGGAAAGUUUUUUCGGUGUAGGAUGAGGUCGCGGCCUAUCAGCUUGUUGGUGGGGUAAUGGCCUACCAAGGCGGCGACGGGUAGCCGGCCUGAGAGGGUGGACGGGCAACUUGGGAAUGAGGUAAGGGCCAGACUUCUAAGGGGGGGAGAAGUGGGGAAAAUUGCACAAAGGGAGCCAGCCUGGUGCAACGAAGCCGCGUGGGGGAUGACCGCCUUCGGGUUGUAAAAUCCUUUCGCUAGGGACGAAGCUUUUUGUGACGGUAACUAGAUAAGAAGCACCGGCUAACUACGUG